AGAGUUUGAUCAUGGCUCAGGUUGAACGCUGGCGGAAUGCUUUACACAUGCAAGUCGAACGAUGAAGCCUAGCUUGCUAGGUGAAUUAGUGGCGGACGGGUGAGUAAUAUAUCGGAACGUGUCCAUUAAUGGGGGAUAACUAGCCGAAAGGUUGGCUAAUACCGCAUACGCCCUGAGGGGGAAAGCUGGGGAUCUUCGGACCUGGCGUUAAUGGAGCGGCCGAUACCUGAUUAGCUAGUUGGUGGGGUAAAAGCCUACCAAGGCAACGAUCAGUAGCUGGUCUGAGAGGACGGCCAGCCACACUGGGACUGAGACACGGCCCAGACUCCUACGGGAGGCAGCAGUGGGGAAUUUUGGACAAUGGGGGCAACCCUGAUCCAGCCAUUCCGCGUGAGUGAAGAAGGCCUUCGGGUUGUAAAGCUCUUUCGCAAGGGAAGAAACGAUAUAGGUUAAUAGCUUAUGUUAAUGACG
rnacentral:rRNA from 1 species